CCAUCGGUGGUUCAGUGGUAGAAUGCUCGCCUCGCACGCGGGCGGCCCGGGUUCGAUUCCCGGCCGAUGCA